GCCCCGGUGGCACAACUGGAUAGCGCGUCCCCCUCCUAAGGGGAAGGUUGCAGGUUCGAGUCCUGCCCGGGGCGCCA
rnacentral:tRNA from 1 species